GCUAAUACCGGAUAAGCCCUUACGGGGAAAGUUUUAACGCCGAAAGAUGAGCCUGCACUUGAUUAGCUAGUUGGUAAGGUAAAAGCUUACCAAGGCAACGAUCAAUAGCUGUUCUUAGAGGAAGACCAGCCACAUUGGGACUGAGACACGGCCCAGACUCCUACGGGAGGCAGCAGUGGGGAAUCUUGCACAAUGGGGGAAACCCUGAUGCAGCGAUGCCGCGUGAGUGAAGAAGGCCCUUGGGUUGUAAAACUCUUUCGUCGGGGAAGAAAAUG
rnacentral:rRNA from 1 species